rnacentral:rRNA from 1 species
GCGGUGAAGGAUGAGCCCGCGGCCUAUCAGCUUGUUGGUGAGGUAAUGGCUCACCAAGGCGACGACGGGUAGCCGGCCUGAGAGGGCGACCGGCCACACUGGGACUGAGACACGGCCCAG